rnacentral:rRNA from 1 species
UACAGAGACUGCAAGCGUUAUUCGGAUUCACUGGGCGUAAAGGGUGCGCAGGCGGCCAAGUGUGUGAGGCGUGAAAGCCCGGGGCUUAACCCCGGAAUUGCACCUCAAACGUACAUGGCUAGAGCAUUGGAGAGGGUAGCAGAAUUCAUGGUGUAGCAGUGAAAUGCGUAGAUAUCAUGAGGAAUACCAGAGGCGAAGGCGGCUACCUGGACAAUUGCUGACGCUCAGGCACGAAAGCCGUGGGGAGCAAAAGGG